UAAUCUCAUUCUAAACUUUUCUUUCCAUGUUUCCUUUUACCAAUGAUGGUUUUUCUUUGCAACAACCUUGUUGGGAUGCUGAUAAAGUGGCUGAACUUCCCUUCAAAAGGGUGUGGCAGUGGUAAUUGACUAAUACUUCUUCCUCAAGUAGUAAAAUUGAAGCAAUUCAUAGCAUCAUCUCAUGUUGAAGCAAUUUUACUCACUGAAUGAAGCCCAUCAUCAUCUUUGUCUGUUGCUGUCACACAAAUUGGAGGUAACAGCUAUAUAUGUUACUUUGCAAUCUAUUCCAUAGUUACAUAGUCACUUAUUUCUGUUAGUGCUGCAUGAUGGAAUAAUGGUAAACUAUUUCCACUCUCUUGAUUUUAACUAAUCCUAAAUAACAACCUAUCUUGUGAAGGACACAUGAUACCUAAAUGCAUGCCUUAUUGACUAGAUGAAUCAACAGGUUUGUUAGUUUUGUAUUCUAUUUUGUUGAAGGUGAAUUGGGUAAGUGUGGGAAGAAUUAAUCUUAUACCAUACCUUGGAAUAACAUUAGUUCUCAUUGUUCCCGAUAUGCUGGAGAAAACUGCUAAUCUGUUCCGGUCGAAUCUCAUUAUUGCUGCUGUGCUUAUUAUACUCAGACAUCACUACCUUUACAACCACAAGAUAAAAGUUCAUAGCUACAAGCUAGUUUUGUCGAAGAAAGCUUAUAUUUUGCUCAUGAUCUGAUAACAGGAC
rnacentral:lncRNA from 1 species